UAGGGAAUCUUCGGCAAUGGGGGGAACCCUGACCGAGCAACGCCGCGUGAGUGAAGAAGGUUUUCGGAUCGUAAAGCUCUGUUUCUAAGGAAGAACGAGUGUGAGAAUGGAAUGUUCAUGCUGUGACGGUACUUAACCAGAAAGGGACGGCAAACUACGUGCCAGCAGCCGCGGUAAUACGUAGGUCCCGAGCGUUGUCCGGAUUUAUUGGGCGUAAAGCGAGCGCAGGCGGUUAGAAACGUCUGAAGUGAAAGUCAGUGGCUCAACCAAUGUAGGCUUUAGAAUCUGUUUAACUUGAGUGCAGAAGGGGAGUGUGGAAUUCCAUGUAUAGCGGUGAAAUGCGUAGAUAUAUGGAGGAACACCGGUGGCAAAAGCGACUCUCUGGUCUGUAUCUGACGCUGAGGCUAGAAAGCGUGGGGAGCGAACAGG
rnacentral:rRNA from 1 species